ACUACAAACUCACUACAAACUCACUACAAACUCACUACAAACUCACUACAAACUCACUACAAACUCGCUACAAACUCGCUACAACUCACUACAAACUCUCUACAACUCGCUACAACUCGCUACUACGUACAACCAACUCCUCAACACCAAUGCAAACGCCUACUGCAAACCCCACAAGAGGGCGCGAGUUUCGAACCAUUUUUAUCCGGAAGCGACACUCAAAAUGAAGCAAUGACGUAUUCAACAGAAAACGAGGCCUCGUUUGUCAUCGUCACGUGAUUUUCACGGAAACGAUACAAGCCUCGAAUCGGGGCUUCAUCUGGAACGCCCCUUUUUGCUCGACACAAGCUCCGGAGCCUCGCUUCAGAUGUCCCAUCACUAAGUAACCCAUGUUUUAUAAAACCUAAACAGUACAACCUGCAAUGUAAUAAAAUAGUGGAGGUAAAUGAGUCUAUGUAACGUUACACUGAAGAUUUACAUAAGUGAUUUGUAGGCUGCUUUUUAGUAACAGCAGUAACUUAGCUAAGUUAUCACUGUGUUGCUUACAGUAAUGUAGGCAGUUAUGUAGGCAGAUAGAUUGUGGGGGAAAGCUAUUUUUCCAUAUGGAUUUAACUCACAGGCCUUCAGUUUGUUGGAAAAAAGAUUUUUAUUGUGUUAGUGAGGGAAAACUUGCAGGUCAGUGGGCAUUAGCCUUAAAGGUUGGUAAACACUUGUACACUGAAGCAUACAAUACUGUACAAUUACUGACAUAUGCAUGUGCUAUUCAGGUGUCAAAGCUGUGCGAAACUGGAGGGAGAAACUUGAGAGACCGUGCCGGAAGAAUGCUGGACAGAGUUCCAUAAAAUUCAUUAAUUUCAAAGUUCAACAUGAAUGGUGGUGGUCCACUGCAGAAGCAAGCAUUUGAAAAAACAUCAGUUCUCAGUUAUUAAAGAUGCUGUGUUGAACAACUUCCCAGCAGCAACAGAACUGGAAGGGAAGGAUGCAAUGGGGGCAUUUCAAACAGGCACCAGGGAGGACGGGGGGGGGGGG